UUACUUAUUAGCAGAAUGGAUGACUUAAGGUGUUUUGUUUCUUUUCUUCUACUCUUGUACUAGGUUAUCUGUUCCGGUGCCUAUAGUUUGCAGCCCUGCUUGUGAUGUGCCUUUGUAUGAGCAGAACAGUUCUUCUCCGAAAGAACGGCUAUAGCCUUCUCGCUUCUUUCCAGCUUCUAGAAUACAUGCUAGAAGUAUGGGCCACUGCAAGAACUCAUCUUGCUUGAAAGAAGUGCAGCAAUCAUCCAGAUAUAAGAUAAGAUCACAGAUGGCUACAGAGAAGUACAGAUGCUGUUUUCCUACUGUGGUUCCCUGCAAGUGAGGCGGAAUCCCUAAGCCCUGCUCUGCCAUAACCUCAAAGCCAGCUGCUGCCUGCCUGUCCCUCCCCAUCCACCACUACCAAACCCUCCAGGACGCGGCUGAAGGCAGCACGCUGACUGAUCGCCUCGAGCAGGCUGUGGGCUCGCAGCAGCAGCUCGCUGCCUCUGACAUCACUCACGGAGCUCACAUCCCACUCCGAGCUCCUUUCGUUAGUCGGUCCAUCGGUCGGUAGAGGAGGCAGGAGACGCUGCGAAGAAGAUCGGUGAGGAACAGAACGAAACAGGGGGGCUACAUCAUGAAAUUCUUCCCUGCUUAUUACUUGCUGCCUCUUUUUCCUGCACUGGUCUUCAGUGCUAGGUGAGUACAGAGAGCUAU